UACGGAGGGGGUUAGCGUUGUUCGGAAUUACUGGGCGUAAAGCGUACGUAGGCGGAUUAGUCAGUCAGAGGUGAAAUCCCAGGGCUCAACCUGGAACUGCCUUUGAUACUGCUAGUCUUGAGUUCGAGAGAGGUGAGUGGAAUUCCAAGUGUAGAGGUGAAAUUCGUAGAUAUUUGGAGGAACACCAGUGGCGAAGGCGGCUCACUGGCUCGAUACUGACGCUGAGGUACGAAAGUGU
rnacentral:rRNA from 1 species